rnacentral:rRNA from 1 species
UACGGAGGGUGCAAGCGUUAUCCGGAUUCACUGGGUUUAAAGGGUGCGUAGGUGGGUCUGUAAGUCAGUGGUGAAAUCUCCGUGCUUAACAUGGAAACUGCCAUUGAUACUAUAGGUCUUGAAUUUUCUGGAGGUAAGCGGAAUAUGUCAUGUAGCGGUGAAGUGCUUAGAUAUGACAUAGAACACCAAUUGCGAAGGCAGCUUGCUACAGGGAUAUUGACACUGAGGCACGAAAGCGUGGGGAUCAAACAGG